GCAUAUGAGGCAGAUGAACAACUGGGGACAAUUGGGCUGAGGUUGUCAGUACGAACAAAUCUCAAAGCUAGGGGCUCGAGUACAAAUGAAGCUCAGACUUAUAGUGAUUAUUGCACAUUAAUAAACAAUUACCUUAUGUUCCCGACGGGAUGACCUUAUUUUUCUUCUGAACAUGAUAUUUGUAUUUGUUGGCAUGUUACAUGGAAAAUUACCUUUUCGUGAAGGAACUUCUGUGUUAAUGAUCCGUCUUUCAUUUCUUUAAUGUACAUCUUAAUAAAGGGUGGUUGUGUGAGCACCAAAUUAGGAGCUCAGUCUAAGAGAAAAGGUCUGAUUAUGUAAUUUGGAUACAUAGUUCUUGCUUUGUUAGGAGUAACCUGAUGAUCAUUUGAUAAUAUAUACCUAUUCAUCUGCCAUGUGAACUUCAUUGAUCAAUGUGUCUCCCUUUGCCCUUGCUAAUCUAGGAUGCCACGUUUCUUUGAUACUAGAAUUUCAUGUUACCUACAUGAUUACAUCAGACAAAUGGAUUUUACUU
rnacentral:rRNA from 1 species